CAACAACAACAACAACAACAACAACAACAACUCCUGCAGGAGACUGGCUUUGGUGGUUGAUCCUCGUGCCCGUGGUGGUUUUUAUAGUUCUGUUAGUGGUCGUUGUGAAAGUCAUCAGAUGGAAAGGAAACAGAACGCAGAUGGGUGACGAUGUUGCUGAUCCUGAAGGCGGGGUUUCCUACGCCUCCAUCAGAUACAACAAGAAGGGGAAAAGAGGAGCUCGGGUUUGUGCUAAAGACGAUGCUGACGAUGGUUCAGUGACCUAUGCCUCCGUCAAAGCUUCUUCUUCUUCUUCUGCUGCUGCAGGAGCCUCUGCUGAUCCCAGCAUCCUCUACGCCACCAUCAACAAAGAGAAGAAAUAAGAAUCCAAAGUAAAGUCACAACUCAGGUUUUUUCAGGUUUCUACACUGAAAACUACAGAGCCUUACAAGGCUCAGGUAGGACUAAAAUAAAAAGCAAUUUGGAAAACCUUAUUUCACGGUUUACAAAUCUGUGUGCACAGUUUAUAAACAGUGCCCAUGGAUUUGUAAACUGUGUGCACGGAUUUGUAAUCUGCUUGCACUGUUUUGAAAUCUGUGUGCACCAUUUAGGAAUCUGUGCCCACAGAUUGUAAAUCAGUGUGCAUGGAUUUGUCGAAAUGAUUGACAGCUUUUUAUUUUUUGUCUCACCUGAGCCUUGCAGGGCUCAGUAGAAAACAGAUACUGAUAGAUGUGUUUGUAUGAGACUUUGUGUUGUUAACUUUCAAGAGUUAUUGCUGUAAGAUGCUUUUCCUUCAAAAGAGGGCGUUGUAGGUUUACUAGUAGCACAAAGACCUAGCAUAAUACCUCUGCAUGAAAUGUAAAUCUACGGAGAUCCUGAAAUCCCAAAAAGGUUUUCGAAAAAAAUCUUAAAGAUAUUAACUUUUGUGCCCAAGAUAAUUAUAUUGAGAACUGGUAUUCAGAAAAACCUUUGAUUAUAUGCUCAAGUCUGUUAACGUUAAAGGCUUUAUAUGUGAUUUUUCACACUUAAAUGUAGAAAUCAAGAAUAUCCUCUGAAAAAAACUCU